rnacentral:rRNA from 1 species
UACGUAGGGGGCAAGCGUUGUCCGGAUUUAUUGGGCGUAAAGAGCGUGUAGGCGGCUUGGUAGGUCCGCUGUGAAAACUCGAGGCUCAACCUCGAGAUGUCGGCGGAAACCACUUGGCUAGAGUCCGGAAGAGGAGAGUGGAAUUCCUGGUGUAGCGGUGAAAUGCGCAGAUAUCAGGAAGAACACCUAUGGCGAAGGCAGCUCUCUGGGACGGUACUGACGCUGAGGCGCGAAAGCAUGGGGAGCGAACAGG